AUGGUUAAGUUAGAAAGGGCGCACGGUGGAUGCCUUGGCACUAGGAGCCGAAGAAGGACGGGACUAACACCGAUAUGCUUUGGGGAGCUGUACGUAAGCGUUGAUCCAGAGAUUUCCGAAUGGGGGAACCCACUAUCUUUAGUCGGAUAGUAUCCUUACGUGAAUACAUAGCGUAAGGAAGGCAGACCCAGGGAACUGAAACAUCUAAGUACCUGGAGGAAGAGAAA
rnacentral:rRNA from 1 species